rnacentral:rRNA from 1 species
UACGUAGGGGGCGAGCGUUAUCCGGAAUUAUUGGGCGUAAAGAGUACGUAGGUGGUUUUGUAAGAGCGGGGUGAAAGGCAGUGGCUUAACCAUUGUUAGCCUUGCUAACUGCAAGACUUGAGUGCAGGAGAGGGAAGCGGAAUUCCUAGUGUAGCGGUGAAAUGCGUAGAUAUUAGGAGGAACACCAGUGGCGAAGGCGGCUUUCUGGACUGUAACUGACACUGAGGUACGAAAGCGUGGGGAGCAAACAG